rnacentral:rRNA from 1 species
UACGGAGGAUGCGAGCGUUAUCCGGAUUUAUUGGGUUUAAAGGGUGCGUAGGCGGGCUUUUAAGUCAGCGGUAAAAAUUCGGGGCUCAACCCCGUCCGGCCGUUGAAACUGGGGGCCUUGAGUGGGCGAGAAGAAGGCGGAAUGCGUGGUGUAGCGGUGAAAUGCAUAGAUAUCACGCAGAACCCCGAUUGCGAAGGCAGCCUUCCGGCGCCCUACUGACGCUGAGGCCCGAAAGCGUGGGGAGCGAACAGG